rnacentral:rRNA from 1 species
GAUGAACGCUGGCGGCGUGCCUAAUACAUGCAAGUCGAGCGAACGGACGAGAAGCUUGCUUCUCUGAUGUUAGCGGCGGACGGGUGAGUAACACGUGGAUAACCUACCUAUAAGACUGGGAUAACUUCGGGAAACCGGAGCUAAUACCGGAUGAUAUUUUGAACCGCAUGGUUCAAAAGUGAAAGACGGUCUUGCUGUCACUUAUAGAUGGAUCCGCGCUGCAUUAGCUAGUUGGUAAGGUAACGGCUUACCAAGGCAACGAUGCAUAGCCGACCUGAGAGGGUGAUCGGCCACACUGGAACUGAGACACGGUCCAGACUCCUACGGGAGGCAGCAGUAGGGAAUCUUCCGCAAUGGGCGAAAGCCUGACGGAGCAACGCCGCGGGAGUGAUGAAGGUCUUCGGAUCGUAAAACUCUGUUAUUAGGGAAGAACAUAUGUGUAAGUAACUGUGCACAUCUUGACGGUACCUAAUCAGAAAGCCACGGCUAACUACGG